CUACCAUGGUGGCAACGGGUGAGCACGUUGCCCUGUAGGACGCAAGACCGUCGGGCGCGUCGCGGCGGCACCGGCGACACGCUGGCUCAGAUGAGGUCUCCGGGGCCGACUCUCGGUACGCCACGGGAGCCGCCCGAACGCAUGCAAAGCGGUGGGCCUUCCCAGGGGGCUUUUGGCACAUGCUACCGCCGACUGCGGUGCCGGCAAAGUGAACGGGGAAUUAGGGUUC
rnacentral:ncRNA from 1 species